rnacentral:rRNA from 1 species
AAAACUCAAAUGAAUUGACGGGGGCCCGCACAAGCGGUGGAGCAUGUGGUUUAAUUCGAUGCAACGCGAAGAACCUUACCUACUCUUGACAUCCAGAGAAGCCAGCGGAGACGCAGGUGUGCCUUCGGGAGCUCUGAGACAGGUGCUGCAUGGCUGUCGUCAGCUCGUGUUGUGAAAUGUUGGGUUAAGUCCCGCAACGAGCGCAACCCUUAUCCUUGUUUGCCAGCGAGUAAUGUCGGGAACUCCAGGGAGACUGCCGGUGAUAAACCGGAGGAAGGUGGGGACGACGUCAAGUCAUCAUGGCCCUUACGAGUAGGGCUACACACGUGCUACAAUGGCGCAUACAGAGGGCAGCAAGCUAGCGAUAGUGAGCGAAUCCCAAAAAGUGCGUCGUAGUCCGGAUUGGAGUCUGCAACUCGACUCCAUGAAGUCGGAAUCGCUAGUAAUCGUGAAUCAGAAUGUCACGGUGAAUACGUUCCCGGGCCUUGUACACACCGCCCGUCACACCAUGGGAGUGGGCUGCAAAAGAAGUGGGUA